AGCCAUGUAUGUCAAUGAGGAUGAUAUUGAGUUGAAUAGUGAUGGUGACGCAGACAUUGAUAAUGCUUGUCGCGAUUAUAACGAUAAUAAUGGUAAAAAGGGCUCCAGUGCAUUACAGGUUAAGAAGAGAAAGAAGGGGGAAGAAGGGAAAAAUGAGAACAAAAUUAAAGUAAAGAAAGAGGAUGGGGUCAAGCAAAAGAAAAAUGUAGAGAAAACAAAAAAUGAG
rnacentral:misc_RNA from 1 species